CCCAGAGGGAGGGGGAGGGCCAUGGGCCGGAAGACCACUUGCCCUCCUGCCAGCCAAGCUUGCUCUCCGACCAGCUCCCGCCCCGUUCUGCCAGCAGUGCAGUGUGGCCUGGAGCCCUGCCAAGCCCCCUCCUCUGUGACAUCCCUCCAGUUCUCUGGGAGCUUCUGUCCCCAGCAGGAAGACAAGGCCUCAGCUGGGGGGGUGAGGGGUGGGAGCCAGGCCUGCGAAGACCCGUGGCCCCACCAGGCUGCAAACUCCAGCCCCCAGUAACCUCUUUUUCCUUCCCUUCCAGCCUGCGUGGGACCGGAUGGGUUUCCCAAAUUUCCCGGAGAGCGGUGGGUCAGCAACUGCCAGGCCUGCGUAUGCGACAAGGACUCUGUGUCGGUGCAGUGUGUCCCUGUGCAGUGCAAGGCCCAGGACCAGCCCCUGGAAUGCAGCCGGGCUGGCUUCCUGACCAUCACCAGGCCCUUGGCGGACAACCCGUGCUGCCAGGAGACGCUGUGCAUCUGCAACGUGACCACCUGCCCCCAGAGCCCACUCACGUGUGGGCCAGGAUUGGAGCUGACCCUCACACAGAGGGAGGGCGACUGCUGCCCCACCUUCCAUUGCACACCUAAGCUGUGCACCUACAACGGCACCUUCUAUGGGGUCGGUGCGACCUUCCCAGGGGUCACGCCCUGCCACAAAUGCACCUGCCUAUCCGUGGACACGGGGAACCUGACCGUGCAGUGUGAG
rnacentral:lncRNA from 1 species